ensembl:lincRNA
UGCAGCCUUCUCUAGCCCACGGGAUGGAACUUUCUCUACCCGUUGUGAUGGAGUUUUCUCUACCUGUUGUGAUGGAGCCUUCUCUAAGCAGAGUGCUCUGCUGAAGUUGCUGCACAGCCCUGGAUAUCUGUUCUCACAUAAUUGCUCAACAACCCUGCUCAACAUCUUGUUAUCUCAAACCCUUUGUAAGGCAUCCUGUACCUGGCUCCAAGGUUCAUGCUGUGAGAACUUCCCUGGCCCGACAGCACCCUGGGAGAUGGGGGUCAGGUUGUGCAGAGCCUGUUAGUCAUUAGGCCAGGACAAGCAGUACUCAUGCUUUCCAGGUCACAGCAGCCUUUGUGACAAUCAGGGCUUUGAAUGAAGUCACAAAGUAUUGGGAUCUUUGACUCUCCUGGCUUUGUCUUUUGAAUGCCACACUCUUUUCUUUUCAGUUCCUUCAUUGCUUCUGUAUGAAGGUGGCUCAUGACUUCCCUGGUGACUGUUUUCAUGUCCUUGCAGUGGAACAUGGCGUCAUCACCACCCCUACAGCUGAGUAUGCUGUGUCCUCCUAUCACCACCUCCACUGGCACCUCCUCCACUCCUCCUGUUACUCCUUCUAGUGCUCUGCGAUGCUGCUCUGCUUAUUCCCAAACUCGAAGACUUGGGAGAAGUGGAUACCCUGGUCUAUGAACGAUGUUGUAGAUAGGAGACCAAAGCUACAGCCCUGUGGCAGAACCAGGCGCAGAAUCCAGCUCCCAGAUUCCCAGGCUGAUAUCAUCCCUCGCACCAAGCAGUCUACACACCCUCCUGUCUCAGAGAGAGUGCCGUGUUUCAACCAGUUCAAAUGUGCUAAGAAGACUGUGUGUGGUUAUGCAAGUCCUAUGCAGACGCUAACAAUGUAAGGCAGUCAGGGAUGUCCGGGCUUUAGAGCAGGGCAGGCACGCCUAUGCUCAUGCUUCUGUCUCUCCUCCCACCCAGAGGAGGAAAAUGAUCACAGCCACUCCAUGUUGGCAGUAAAGAGCCAGAUUCCCCUCUCAGGGGUGUACCUUGUAUGCACAGGGCUUGGGGAGUAGUGAGAAUAAAGGGUGAUUUCUUUUCUUCUUGCCCAAGAGAAACUCCCUGCAAAGCAACCAAACCACAGUGAGCUUCUAAGAGGGUUUUCUAACCACUGAGAAGUCAACCCCUGAUGUCAUUUAGCACUGCUCCCUUCUUACCAACUGUCUGCUAUGACAUGAUGGAGCUAAGUAGGAGCGCUGCUGAAAUACAGUCUAGGGAGUGAGAAAUUAAGAGACAGCUGCAAGGGAAAAAGGGAUUUUUUUAAGCAAGGAAGGAAACGAGACAGCAACCAACAAAACAGAUAAAAGCAAGAUGACUGUUCCAGAGGACUGUGGAAGAGGGCAGAGUAGGAAGCUGUGGGGAUCAGUUCCUCCAGAACAACUAUUAAACACCCCAGAAAUGGUCUGAAACAACUGUUAAGAAACUCCAGUGUCUGGCAGAACACUCUACAGCAUCCAAGUAUGAGCAGGAGGAAGACACUGAUCAAUUACAGCGAAUGCCGGUAAAUUGCUGCCCCACGUGGUGGUUUCCAGCACCCAUCCCAUUCUUGUAGCAAGGCAGCAGUGGGGUCUGGCCCCUGGUGGAGCUUGCUGGUGACAGAGAGGGAUAUGAAAUUCCACUUCCCCAAGAGCCAGGGGGCUGGGCCAUGGACCAUGGAUUUUUGUUAGCUGCUAUGGAUUGCUGGGGCCCAGCUCUGAGGUGGCCCAUAUGCCAACCCACCCCUGACAAGGCAGCAGGAGACUUAAAGAUGGUAUGUUACCUGCAAAGGAUGGUUGAAAGGCUGGAUUUGCUGAUUAGGUCAAUAAAUGAUACCUUUAGGGAGCCUUGGAAGAAGCUCCUGGCACCCUUCCUGGCCCAUCAUCAUCCUCUUCUCAAGGCAAUUUGGAGCCAGCCAGUGUUCUCUUUGUAAUCCCUGACCAUGUUCCAGCCAGGGAAGCCUGAUUUGGGAAUCUCCUCUCUGCCUUGUUCCGCCUCCCAGAAUUUGCCCUCCAGGCAAAAGCAGCUUGAUACCAGCAAAGACAUAUAGGAAAUAUUUGAGGCUGAUGGCCUGGGGCAAAGGCUUACCUACUUUCAGUUGGACAGUGGAAAACCUGGGAGAGAGAGAAGGUGUGUCUACUGUGAAGUAGAACGAGCAUUGAAAAUACUGUAAACAGGGAAACUCCUAACACCAUUAGCAAGCACAAGCCCGGAACAAGACACAGGACCAGCAAGUAUAGGGAGAAUCCUACACUUUGCAUUCACCUUGGUCAGACUUUCCUGAUAGGAGGAGGGCUGACAUACAAGAAAAUCUUUGUCAUAUCACCAGCUGGUUAAAAGCUCAAGAAACAGACAUGUAAGGGAAUAAAUCUCAGAGUUAACAUUUGAAUAUUUAAAUACGUACAGUGUGCAAUAAAAAUUACAAGACAGAAAAGGAAAUAGGAAAUGAUGAGCCAGUCAUAGGAAGAAGAUAAAAAGUACACAAAUGAAGAAGGCCAGCCUAUAGAUAUACCAGAGAAAGACUUAAAAAAGUAAUCUUCCAUAUGUUUCAAGGAGAUGAAGGAAAAUACAUAGACCUAAAGGCUAUCUGGAAAACAAUGAAUGAACAAUAUUAGAUUCUUAAUCAAAAGACAGAAAUUUUAAAAAGGAAUCAAAUAGAGCUAUUGGAGAUGAAAAUCAUAAUAACCAAAUGAAAAAUUCCCAGGAGGAUUUCAACAGUAGAAUGGAGCUGGAAGAAGAAAGAAUCUGUGAACUUAAAGAAAAGACAAUUGAAUUGAGUCAGGCAGAGGAUCAGAAGAAAAAAAGAACUACAAAAAGAGAAAUAAAAUAACACUCUGGGACACCAUCAGGCACACCAAUAUAUGUAUGAUGGAAGAUCCAGAAGAAGAAGGGGGAAGAAGAGCAGAAACAAUAUUAAAGAAAUAAUGACAAAGACUCCCCAAACUUAGCAAAAAAUGUGCUGUGUAAAAGGGAGUCCUAAUUAGAUUAGGUGUCAAUUUCGCAUCAGAAACCAUGGAGGCAAGAAGUCAGUGGGUUGAAACACUUUAAGUGCUGAAAGAAUACAAUUGCCAACCAAAAAAUUUUAUAUCCUGUGAGACUUUCUUUCAAAAUAGAGGAAGAGUUCAAGACCUUCCCAGAUAAACAAAAGCUGAGGGAAUUCAUCACCACUAGAACUGCCUGACAAGAAAUCCUAAAGGGAGUUCUUCAGACUGAAAGGAAAGGACACUAGAUGUGGUUCAAAGUGGCAUAAAGAAAUAAAGACCUCGGUAAAUGUAACCAUUGGUAAUUAUAAAUGCCACUAUUAUUGUAUAGUAAUUUUUAGUAUGUAAUUUCACUUCUUACUUCCUGCUGGUACUAAAAUAUAAUUGAAUAAAAAGAAAUGAUAAAUCUAUGGUUAUGGACAUACAAUGUACUAAGACAUUUGUAACUAGUACAAAAAAAGGUAAGGGGAUGAAGGAGUAUAAGAACAGUGCAGUGUAUGCUACUGGAGACAAAUUGGUAUCAAAUCAAUAUGAGGUGGCGGACUUGGCCCAGUGGUUAGGGUGUCUGUCUACCACAUGGGAGGUCUGCGGUUCAAACCUCAGGCCUCUUUGACCCAUGUGCAGUGCUGAUGUGUGCAAGGAGUGCCGUGUUACACAGGGGUGUCCCUAUGUAGGGGAGCCCCACACACAAGGAGUGUACCCCGUAAGGAGAGCCGCCCAGCGCUAAAGAAAGUGCAGCCUGCCCAGGAAUGGUGCCGCCUACACGGAGAGCUGACACAACAAGAUGACACCACAAAAAGAAACACAGAUUCCCGUGCCACUGACAACAACAGAAGAGGACAAAGAAGAUGCAGCAAAUAGACACAGAGAAC